rnacentral:tRNA from 1 species
GCCCCUGUAGCUCAGUUGGUAGAGCAAUUGCCUUUUAAGCAAGUGGUCCCAGGUUCAAAUCCUGGCAGGGGCACCA